UGUGCAUAUUUAGUGUGCUUAAAAGCUGAUGUGUGUGUAUUUAAAAAAAUGUUAAAAGCCAAAUAUGUGCAGAUAUUUACAUUCAAUUUAGUUCAUGAUUAUGGUCGUAAGAGUUUACCUGGUGAAGAUGCAAACACAAUUUUUAUUUCAAGUGAUAGACAGUUAAAAGAGACAAUUUAUAGCAUGUGAUAAGCUAACUGCUCUGCACACUUGUGUGCAGGCUGGUUUUUUUGGAGGAACGAUCCUGUUGUGACAUCCGAGGAGCUGCUCAUCUGUGGUCAAGGUCAUCACCGCUGCUCGUGGAUGUCUUCUUCGCGUCGGGACAUUUGCUGUUCUAGGAGGGUGAUGGCUAAAAUACAUUUUGCUGUUGCCCCCGUCCACAGCAGUACAUUGCUUUGCUUCUCUGGGAGUACCCCUGCCUGAUUCUUCAAACUGGGGGCGUGCUUACUGACAUUAACUGUAGGUAUAGUAGAUUAACGGUAGUGAAGUCAAGUCACUCCCGAUGGCCAGUGAGAGCCCAGACACAGUGGUGAAAUCUCUUCAGUGCUCAGUUUUAAACAUCGACAAUAAAGAAGACUCUUCAGUUUCCCCUCUGAAGCCACAGUGUUUCCCGCUCCCUUGCCCUGAGAAACAGAAACACAUUGACCUUCCCUAUUGAUGAGCAGCAGGAAAUCCACCGUCAAAGAAACAGCGUGCACACCCGGCACAGCAGGUCUCCAUGAAGCCUUUCGCUUCAAACCUUCUGAGGGGGGGAUGGGUCAGUAAGUCACGGCACAUAUAACCCACUGAGUGAUGUGGUUGCACUGACCAGACUUGACAGAUAGCUAGACCAAAAAGAUGGAGGAAAUGUUGACUUUAAAUGUUGACUCUGAUAUGCAUGGUGUUACAUACCUUAUUUAAUGUCAAAAGGAAAUAAAAAAUGACUUUUUUCACCUUUUCAAACCCCAUCAUGUACAUCAGCACCUACCGUAAGCUUCACAUAUUAUUAAAAAAACAAUAGUGAAUUCAUAGACUGCAAAUACAAGCAGCCCUAGCAUGCACCAUCCUGACAGGCAGAGAUGGAUUUAUCCCUUUUAUGCACCUUUCCCAACCUUUAAAAUGUCCAAAUUAUCAAUUCAAGGUGCCCUAAUCCAUCACAGCGAGACCAGACAAAUCAGUGGAUGCUUUUAAUAGCCAGAAAGGCAACAAAUAACGGCUCCUGCUGGGCUGUGAGGAGUGGUUUGCACUCCAUGACUGUAACUAUGUAGACCAACAGGGCUUGUUUAAUGAAUAAUCAUGGUACACUGCUGGAUAAAUCAAUCUAUUCAUCAAUUAUCUCUGUGUGAGUGUUUUUGUACAAUUCCAUGCAACUAAAACUCUCCACCACAGGGCUGUAGGCUACAUAUAAGUCUUAAAAUGUUGUAUUGUUGUGUUAUUGGGAGCCAGAAUAGAAUGAGUCAUGGCUCAAAACUUAAAUUUUAUCACAUACUAGCCGUCACUGCCUGCCAACAAAAAGGAGGACAACUAUGGUUAAAUACGAAAAGACAAAAGGACUGGACGAAGGCGAUCAUCAAAAAUGCUCGCAUGUGCAGCACGCACACAAGUAUUUACUACUUUAGCACAAGUAGGUGAAACUCCCAUGUCCCUAAUCAUGUUUGCUCAACUUACAUUACAAAUAUAAGUAAUGCACUCAUGCAAAGCAUGUGUCAAAAUCAGCACAACCUGUGUUAAAUUCCUACACAUCAAUGAGUUGAAUUUGGGACAACAUCAUCACAACAACUCAUCAGCUCUUUCCACUGCACAAGUACAAAAGUGGUCAUUAAAACAGCUGACAUUCACAAGAUGAUGGGAUAGUUCUGACUAUUAAAUAGUGAGUGCGCUACACAAAUAUGCCAGCAAAGUGUCCUGAUCUUACCAGGAACUGGCUGUUUACAUACAGGGCAACGAUACAUUUACAGUUGAUUAAGGCCAAAGCCUGAAGCUUGGCAGUUAGCUGGAAAACUCUGGAUCUUUUCUCAGUCUUUGACACCAGCAAGUCAUUGAUAUGUUUAAGAAAGAUGACAAAUGAAGCAAGCUGAGUAGGAUAAGCAACAUUGCAUGCCUAGAAAAAUGCAAACAGCUCAUCUAAGCUCAUCAGCUGUCAUCAUGCAGUGGAAUGGCACCCCAGAUCAUCACGUUCAACAAAAGGAAGAGUGUGGUUAAGGAUUUAGCAGUCUUGGCCUGUCGUCCACAGUCUGGUGGUUGACAAGGGUUAUUUUCAGACAGCUCCAUUUAGGCUACUGCAGAGGGUAAGUAGUAAGUAAAAGAGACUUGAUAUAAAAUACAAAAACAAACUUCACAGUAAAAGUAAAUGUUUGUCAAAAUGGAAAUGAUAAGACAAUGGGGAAAUAAUUUCAGCUUACAUAUCAAAACUAAUUAGCCUAGUUCAGGGUUCUAACAGACAGGGGCAGGUCAAAUUCAAGGACUUUUUUCCCCCAGGGAUGCAAUUGUUUUCUCCACAAUCAUCUGUUGCAAAAAAACGUGUGCAGAUUCAUAAAUAGAGCUAACACUUGCCACCAGGGUCUAAAAUUAACUAAUUAUUAAUUAACUGGUUAUUAUUAUUGUAAAUUUAUAUACAGUAUAUUACAUUUCAAAUAUGUUUCAUAAAAUAAUUUAGCAUUCUGUUCUCCUUAAGUACUUUUUUUCAAGGACCAAGUUAAAAGAUGUGUUUCUUUUCAGGUAUUCCAGUGUCAAAUUAAAGUACUUAAAGCACCUUAAGCACCUUGUACAAACCUGGAUUGGUAAUUAGCACCAGCUACCAGCCAAAGGCCAGUAAAAUAUGCAAGUGGCAGCUAGAUUUGCAACACUGGUCAGCCAAAAAAAUCUAUGGUAGUCUAUUGAGUGGUAAUUUCCAACCCUGGUACAAACCCUUGCUAAUAAUAAUGACUGCCACAGUGGCGCCAAGGUGCGAGGUAGCAGAACCGGACAAAACCAGAACACUAGGCUCCGUAUUAGCCAUGUUAAUAUUUACACUUACUCCAAAUGAGUUAUGUUAGUGUUACCCAUUUUGGUGUUAAAGAUGCAAAGAUGGAUCAAUAAUAAGCUCAGUAGGAUUAUGAAGUUUUGAUUUGUUGAUUUGUCAUUGCCUGGCUAGUUGUUACAAACAAAGAAAUAUUUUAUCUUCAUUAGGAAUCGUAGCUAUGUAGCCAGCUAGCUAACAUCAGUAAUGCAUCCUUAUGGCUGUCUGUUGGCCUAACAUCACUCGGCUAACGUUAGCUAGACAGCUACGUUAAAGUGCAACUUGCAGGUUACAUUUAAAAAAAAAACAUCUGCAUUUCAAGAUUUGUGAUUAUGCCUAAUUAUUAUGUUUGUGCAGGUUGCACAAACUCAAGUCUGUCAGGACAUUGAGUUCAACGUUUUCCGGACAGAAAAAGGAGUGGAGUUAGUUUUCGUGCCUGGGUGUGUUUUGUGCAGGUGAAGAGGCGCGAUUUCACGGCUUCAUCUGUGACCAAAAACGCGGUCGUGUGCAGCGUUCAUUUUGGACAGGAGGAUUAUGCUUGGGGGUAUGUGCGGGGGCAGGCGGGCUCCGCGGAGAGGGAGGCCUCCGUGUUUGAGGCUCGUGGCCCCGCACGGGGCGAUGUGCGGGGCCGCUUGGGUCUCCCUCUCCAUGGAGAGACGGGUGUUUGAGACGGGAGCGGGCGGCGUGAAGGUUGAUGGGCAGUGUGAGGCAUGUUAUGUCUGGUCUGGGGGUCAGAUUCUCCACCAGAGCCCAGAAGGCAUCCACCUCCCUGCAGCACAUACUCUCCACAGCUGAGGACAUGGGCUGGCAGUUCCCACACAAGCACCUAACCUGUAUCAUACAAAAAAUUAUCAGGAAAUGUUUGUAUCUCUCUCUCUCUCCCUCUCUCCCCUGCGGACGUCAAUACACCAGAGUUAUGCGGAGUUAUAACACGCAUAGCAAGAUACGUCUGAUACAAGCUGAUAUUUGCGCAUUAGUUUCUGUUAUGGGUAAGUAGCAUUAGUUAUCUAAUACUGGCAGAACUAUUGGUAGCUUUGUUAUAACCUAAUACGUGAUGGCAAACUUAAUGUUGUGAUGUGAACACAGCGUUAGACAUCGUUAGCUGUCGUUAGCUAACGCUGGUCGCUCACCAAGACACCUGCCCAGUUCUCCACUGGUUCUCCUCACACCACAGCUCUAUUUCUCUCCUGUGGCUGUUAUUUCUCCUAACCCUGAUCUGUUCCUGGUCUCUUGGAUGCCUAGCAGGCUCAUAAUUAUAAGCCUGUGGGCCGUCAUAUGCAUAUGAAUGUACAUUUUCAACCUCUUCAGUCUCAAAACUAGUACUGGAUCCAUGUUUAUUAAUGUUACACUCAAUUGAACUCGGCUGGACUCCCUUACACUAUGUCACUUCCGGUUAGUGGGUUUUUAGAUGCGGAAGCAAAAUUCUCUCACAAAAACAACCCCAAAAGUCACUGUAGUAUAUGUUUUUGUUUUUUGUUUUAAUCGAGUUUCUACAUCAUUUUCCUACACAUUUAUUCACCAUGGUCUCCAACCUGCAAGUUGGGCUUUAAGUUACCAUAUAACAUAUCGAUAUAUUGAUUUUGUACAAUAUAUUGAUGUAUUUUCAAGCAAGAUAUAAAUUAAGAAAAUACUGUUUGUAUCGAUAUAGGGUCAAGUUGCCUCACAUAAGGCACACCAGCGGUCAUCUCUCCUCUCACACUCUACGCACUGCUCUGCCCCACUCACUCAUUCACAGGUCCUCCAACAGCACUCAGAGAGACACAUAGCUACUCCUCUGUUUAAUCUGUCUGUUAAUUAGUCUACAGUGUGACAUCGGUCUGUAUAUUGCACCGCUAUGCUAAAGCAGUCUGUGAGAUUAAUGAAGUUACCGCAGUAGCACACGUACAAUACUGUGAGCCUUUUCCUAUGUAACUUUCAGCUGCGUCUAGUCAAGCCAUGUUGCACUGCUUUGUAUUUCUGCUAUCAGUUUAGAUGCACAGUGCCACGCCGAGCUGUGCACCUACUCCUUCUCCGGAGUGGGUCCAAAAGCCGGGCCGCCCGCCCUCAAGCGGAUGGCCUUGCCGUCUCGCCAACCACAGCUAACCUCCGUCCACCCCGCUUCUUCCCAUCAAACAAGCUGUGCGUGUGAUGUGAGACUCUCCUCACCUCUGUCUGCAGGAGACCAGAUAGAAAGUGUGUUUAAAACUCUCUGUGUGUUAAGCUCUCAGUACUUUUGUAGCUUCUGACUGGAUCUCUGUGGUUUGGAGUUUAGUUUCUCUCCUACAUCUUGUUUUUACUUUAAACAUCUGUUUUAUUUUACUGUUUCAUGUUCACUAUCAGCUGUGUUAGAAGUUGUGUGAAGUUGCUGCUGGAAAACUCAACAUUUCCUUAUUUUGCUGUUUUUACAUAACAAAAUAACAGGGGACUUUUAUUUAUUUCUCAGUUUAGUAGUUUGGCAGACCGAGGUGCGCUGAGAUGGGUGUGGUGGCGCAGCAGGGGGAGGUGUCGACAGAUCCAGCUUGGCGCAGUGACAGUUUCGUGCCAAAAGGCUUCGCCGAAGGUGCGCUAAAAGCUCGCCAGCUGAAACCACGUCUACUGUCAGGGCAGGGGGAGCGCAGCCGGUGUAAGCCGAAGUUUGGCUGACCAGCGGACAGUGCGCACACUUCACCAAAACCUCACAGGCAGGUUUCCAGAAUGUCAGGCACAUUAAUAAUGCAAUAAAUACCCAAAAAAACACUAUUCAAUGCAACUAUCUGCAAUCAGCACAUAAAUGUAUCUCUAUAUCGACUGUCCCGUCACAUCUGAUGUCAGAUCAAAGGGGAUUGGCACCGUUUGGCACGUUUGGCACGCGUAAUGGAAACCCAACCUGAUUUGAUUAACACAGCUGCAAACUAAUGAGUUCACAUCCCUCUCAGCCAACCACAAACAGCCACAGCAUCAGAUAGGGAGUAUAUAUUCAGCAUCUGUCAUCUUAGAAAAGUCAAAAGAAAAGAAACAGAGUGAGACUGCGAGAGAGAAAGAGAGAGCGCGCGCGCACGAGAGAAACGCAACAUUGAUUUACAAUUGUGGUGACCUCCUCCCAGGCUACCUUUGCAUCAUCAGCCCGUGGAGGUCUGCUCGCAGUUCCGUAUAUUCGGACACUGCGAGCUUGGACCUCCCGGACCAAAACAUCAGUUUCCUCCUGGGAGAAGUUUGGCCGUCUGACGCUGCUGCUCUCUUCUGCCAUGGCGAAUUGAGUAAACUCUCAUUACGCCUUCGCGCGGCGCAUUUAAGGGCGAGGAGAGGGGCUCAUUUGAUUGGUGUGAUGUGUGUAAAACCCACUCCACGCCUUCUCUCCUCUCUCUUUCCGACUUGCGCAGGUAGGAGGGACGAAGGUGGGAAAGAGGAGUAGCUGCGCCAGGCGCACGGUGUGCCACACUUGCAAAAUCCGCCUGGCCACACCCAGUUGGCGAAGCGCAGGUGCGCUGCGCCCCCGCCUCGCCCGGUCUGCGAAACUAGAGCCCCAAGUCUCAACCCUGCACCCAGUUUUAUUCAGUCUGAAUGAAAACCACAGUUGAGCCAAUGUUGCCCGUUUCAGGGCUAGGUAGCUAAAGUUCGAACUGUGAAAUAGUGGUCAAAACAGCCUGAGGAGAACUAGCAAAUAUUACAGUCUUAGUUUAGAAUAUGACACAGCUGUAAAAUGAAACACGUUAAACACACAGUCACUGUCGGAAAUCUUUGCAGGAGGCAAGUUUUUUCCCUCUCUCUUUUUUCCAGAGUGUUCCACCGAGUAUCGGUCUAGAGUGCUGUGAUUGGCCAAUAAUGUGACACAUACGGGUGUGUGAGAGGGUACAGCAUGCAGGAAUUGACACAAAGUGUGUUAUUUUGCUCUUUACACAUUAAUUGUGUUAGAAAACAAGACAUCUUUAUUAAGACUGUGGAAAUCAAACAAAUGAUACAUUUUCCAUUAUUGUUGUGUUGCCUUAUUUAUAAUAUUCCUCACCAAAUGUUACUGUUUGUUAUCUAAAUGUUUUCAGUGCUUUAAAUUUUUCAAAUAUGUUGUGUCCCUGAGUCAACUGUCCCCCCAUUACUCUGAUGCAAGUCAUACAUUUUUGGUGGAAAAACCCUCUACAAGAAUCAAAGUAAGUAUUUCUCUUUAAUCAGUCUUUUUUUUCUAAUGUUUAACAAUGCUCGUCUGAGCUGAGUACAAGUGCUCGCUUGUUUUUCAUCAUAGUACUGAUGGAAAAUUUGUUGAAGUCAUAUUCAAAUCUCUGUCAUAAUAACCAGUAUAAAUAUUUCCCUCUUCAAAUAUGUAGUCUAGGCCCAAUACUGUGUCCUAACAGCAAGCAAGUGCCUCUCAAGCACGGUGCCAGGAUUUCAGUUUUGGAUGGGCCAGACCAAUUGUGGGUGGGCCUUAAAUUACAAAUGUUAGUAGAUCACUGUUUGACUUAAUAAUAAUGACUGACUGAUAUACUGCUAUAUUACCUGUAUACAGAUUUUAAUUGCUUGAUGCUCCUUAAAUAUUUGAUUGC